AGUAGGGAAUUUUCCACAAUGGACGAAAGUCUGAUGGAGCAACGCCGCGUGUGCGAAGAAGGCCUUCGGGUUGUAAAGCACUGUUGUAAGGGAAGAAUAGGUAUGAUAGGAAAUGGUCAUACUGUGACGGUACCUUACCAGAAAGCCACGGCUAACUACGUGCCAGCAGCCGCGGUAAUACGUAGGUGGCAAGCGUUAUCCGGAAUUAUUGGGCGUAAAGGGCGUGUAGGCGGUGUUUUAAGUCUGAUGUGAAAGCCAACGGCUCAACCGUUGAAAUGCAUUGGAAACUGGAACACUUGAGUGUCGGAGAGGAAAGCGGAAUUCCUAGUGUAGCGGUGAAAUGCGUAGAUAUUAGGAGGAACACCAGUGGCGAAGGCGGCUUUCUGGACGACAACUGACGCUGAGGCGCGAAAGCGUGGGGAGCAAA
rnacentral:rRNA from 1 species